GUACUGCUGAAGAGUCACAAAUUAGGCUGACGAAAACAGCUGUCCAGUAC
rnacentral:hammerhead_ribozyme from 1 species